rnacentral:rRNA from 1 species
UGGGGAAUAUUGCGCAAUGGGCGAAAGCCUGCCGCAGCGACGCCGCGUGAGGGAUGAAGGUUUUCGGAUCGUAAACCUCUGUCAGAAGGGAAGAAACCGCACUGUGCUAAUCAGCAGUGCCUUGACGGUACCUUCAAAGGAAGCACCGGCUAACUCCGUGCCAGCAGCCGCGGUAAUACGGAGGGUGCAAGCGUUAAUCGGAAUUACUGGGCGUAAAGCGCACGUAGGCUGCUUUGUAAGUCAGGGGUGAAAUCCCACGGCUCAACCGUGGAACUGCCUUUGAUACUGCUUAGCUUGAAUCCGGGAGAGGGUGGCGGAAUUCCAGGUGUAGGAGUGAAAUCCGUAGAUAUCUGGAGGAACAUCAGUAGCGAAGGCGGCCACCUGGACCGGUAUUGACGCUGAGGUGCGAAAGCGUGGGGAGCAAACAGG